UUGUUGCCGCCCACCCGGCUCCGCGCCCCCCGCGGUCGGAGGGGGGCUCGGCGCCCGCUCUGCCCUUGACCGCGCUCUCCUGCCGCGGCCUUCCCGCAGCCCGGAGGCUGAGGCCAAGUUCUCUGUGAGGCUGUUGCUUGUGCGUCGUGGCUAAGGAAGGCAAGCAUGAGUAGGCGCAGAGCCAUGCUCUUUUCCCUUCUGACAGACACUGAUGUCAUCCCUCAGAAGAGUUCAAGGAAUCCAGUUCACUCAGACUUGGGAAGAAGGAAGGAAGGAAGCAGAUAUUCCUGGAGAUCUCUGAGCCACGGUUCAGACCUCGGCCUCCACGUGUACUAGGCUGCAGUCCAGUGGAGUGACGGCACGGCACUGACGCUAGGUUACACGAGCUCCAAGAAACGGAGAGCCGAAGAUCUCAAUAGAAACAGACGCCUAGGUUAGCAGAGUUGUGACCACAGCUGCCAAGCAACUCCUGCCUCACUCUUCCUUGGCUACCAGAGAAGGGCUGGGCUCUCCCCGCAGUGAACCAGGCGAUGGGAAACCUAAGAAAACCAUGGCUGAUCCUGACGCUGGCCAGCGGGAUGAAGCACACUCGGACUGCUUCAACCCACCAGACUUGGGUCGUGUACACAGCUUGAGAACCCUCUCAGAGUCAUAUUCAUGGAGGGAGGAAUGAAGGAUCUGAAGGAGGACCCUAACCAGCCUUUAAUCCCAGCACUCGGGAGGCAGGGGUUAGAUCGCUGAGUUUCAUAGGGAAUUCCAGGCCAGCCAGAAUUACAGGUUAAGAACUUGUCUUAAAAAUAAAUGCAAUUUUUAGGGCUGGUGAGAUGGCUCAGUGGUUAAGAGCACUGACUGCUCUUCCGAAGUUCCUGAGUUCAAAUCCCAGGCAACGAGAGAAGGGAGGGCUGAAGCCAUCUGCCUACAAGCUUGAGACUUUAUGUGGUAAGGAGCCUGAAGUCUGAAGAAGAGAGAUCUGUCUGUCCAUUGAGCUCUAUAUGUGGCCACAUGCCACACGAAAUGUGGUGUCUAUUCCCAAGCUGCUCUACUAGCUGGCUCUCAGAGUCGUCAGACACCUCAGUCCCUUUACCACCAGGAAGUACCGUUGGGUCAGGACUGAAGAACAAGGAAAAGCUGGAACCUACCACUGGUGUCUUCUGUAGCUGAGUGUCUCCACUUUGAACCGAGUCUCCUGAGCUUGAAACGCAGAAAUUUGGGCCAACAAAAUGGCCCAGCAAGUAAAGGCACAUGCCACCAAGCCUGUGUCCAACUCUAAGGACCUACAUGCUGGGAGGCGAGAACCUGCACCCAGUGUGUCCUCUGACCCGCACAUCAGUUCCCUCUACCCCUCCCCUAAUAAAUAAAUAAUUUUAAUUUUCAUGAAAAGAGGCCGCUUUGCUGUAGCCUCUGGCUGUGGGAGCAGGGAGCUCAGGAAACGAGGAAGACGUAAACCCAGGCCAGGAUCAAGGAAGGGAGCAGGAAGACCUCCAACUAGCUGGGUUUUUUUUUUCCUGGACCAACCACUGUCGAUAGUUGAGUGGAGCUUUAUGACAGGUACCUUCUCCCAAUAUCAAGGUUA
rnacentral:lncRNA from 1 species